rnacentral:rRNA from 1 species
AGCGAACGCUGGCGGCAGGCCUAACACAUGCAAGUCGAACGAACCUUUCGGGGUUAGUGGCGGACGGGUGAGUAACACGUGGGAACGUGCCUUUAGGUUCGGAAUAACUCAGGGAAACUUGUGCUAAUACCGAAUGUGCCCUUCGGGGGAAAGAUUAAUCGCCUUUAGAGCGGCCCGCGUCUGAUUAGCUAGUUGUUGAGGUAAUGGCUCACCAAGGCGACGAUCAGUAGCUGGUCUGAGAGGAUGAUCAGCCACAUUGGGACUGAGACACGGCCCAAACUCCUACGGGAGGCAGCAGUGGGGAAUCUUGCGCAAUGGGCGAAAGCCUGACGCAGCCAUGCCGCGUGAAUGAUGAAGGUCUUAGGAUUGUAAAAUUCUUUCACCGGGGACGAUAAUGACGGUACCCGGAGAAGAAGCCCCGGCUAACUUCGUG